GAUGAACGCUGGCGGCGUGCCUAAUACAUGCAAGUCGAGCGAACGGACGAGAAGCUAGCUUCUCUGAUGUUAGCGGCGGACGGGUGAGUAACACGUGGAUAACCUACCUAUAAGACUGGGAUAACUUCGGGAAACCGGAGCUAAUACCGGAUAAUAUUUUGAACCGCAUGGUUCAAAAGUGAAAGACGGUCUUGCUGUCACUUAUAGAUGGAUCCGCGCUGCAUUAGCUAGUUGGUAAGGUAACGGCUUACCAAGGCAACGAUGCAUAGCCGACCUGAGAGGGUGAUCGGCCACACUGGAACUGAGACACGGUCCAGACUCCUACGGGAGGCAGCAGUAGGGAAUCUUCCGCAAUGGGCGAAAGCCUGACGGAGCAACGCCGCGUGAGUGGUGAAGGUCUUCGGAUCGUAAAACUCUGUUAUUAGGGAAGAACAUAUGUGUAAGUAACUGUGCACAUCUUGACGGUACCUAAUCAGAAAGCCACGGCUAACUACGUG
rnacentral:rRNA from 1 species